UUUGAUCCUGGCUCAGGACGAACGCUGGCGGCGCGCCUAACACAUGCAAGUCGAACGAGAAUAGGAGGCUUUCUUCCAAAUUUGGGGGGAACGGGGAAUAACGCGUGAGGACCUCCCUCAAAAAGGGGGGCACACUGUUGGAAAAGCUUUUUUAAUCCCGAAUAAGCCCGGGUUUGGAUUGAGCAAAGAGAAAAGGAUUAUCCCUUUUGAGAGGCCUCGGCCCCGAAUAUCCGGUUGGGAGGUUACGGCCCCACAAGGGGAACAAUCGGUACCCGGACUGAGAGGUUAAACGCCCACAUUGGGAUUGAGACACGGCCCAGACUCCUACGGGAGGCAGCAGUGGGGAAUAUUGCACAAUGGGGGAAACCCUGAUGCAGCGACGCCGCGUGGAGGAAGAAGGUCUUCGGAUUGUAAACUCCUGUUGUUGAGGAAGAUAAUGACGGUACUCAACAAGGAAGUGACGGCUAACUACGUGCCAGCAGCCGCGGUAAAACGUAGGUCACAAGCGUUGUCCGGAAUUACUGGGUGUAAAGGGAGCGCAGGCGGGAGAACAAGUUGGAAGUGAAAUCCAUGGGCUCAACCCAUGAACUGCUUUCAAAACUGUUUUUCUUGAGUAGUGCAGAGGUAGGCGGAAUUCCCGGUGUAGCGGUGGAAUGCGUAGAUAUCGGGAGGAACACCAGUGGCGAAGGCGGCCUACUGGGCACCAACUGACGCUGAGGCUCGAAAGUGUGGGUAGCAAACAGGAUUAGAUACCCUGGUAGUCCACACCGUAAACGAUGAUUACUAGGUGUUGGAGGAUUGACCCCUUCAGUGCCGCAGUUAACACAAUAAGUAAUCCACCUGGGGAGUACGACCGCAAGGUUGAAACUCAAAGGAAUUGACGGGGGCCCGCACAAGCAGUGGAGUAUGUGGUUUAAUUCGACGCAACGCGAAGAACCUUACCAAGUCUUGACAUCCCUUGACGAUGCUGGAAACAGUAUUUCUCUUCGGAGCAAGGAGACAGGUGGUGCAUGGUUGUCGUCAGCUCGUGUCGUGAGAUGUUGGGUUAAGUCCCGCAACGAGCGCAACCCUUAUGGUCAGUUACUACGCAAGAGGACUCUGGCCAGACUGCCGUUGACAAAACGGAGGAAGGUGGGGAUGACGUCAAAUCAUCAUGCCCUUUAUGACUUGGGCUACACACGUACUACAAUGGCGUUAAACAAAGAGAAGCAAGACCGCGAGGUGGAGCAAAACUCAGAAACAACGUCCCAGUUCGGACUGCAGGCUGCAACUCGCCUGCACGAAGUCGGAAUUGCUAGUAAUCGUGGAUCAGCAUGCCACGGUGAAUACGUUCCCGGGCCUUGCACACACCGCCCGUC
rnacentral:rRNA from 1 species